CUCCUGUCACACCGCCCCAAAAUUCUUGUCUUACAUUUGUUUAGAUACGGAUGUAUCUAACACUAAAAUGUAACUAGAUACAUUCGUAUUUAGACAAAUUUAAGACAAGAAUUUUGGGACGGAGGGAGUACAAA
rfam:Triticum aestivum genome assembly, contig: Triticum_aestivum_CS42_TGACv1_scaffold_577236_7BL